AAGUCGUAACAAGGUUUCCGUAGGUGAACCUGCGGAAGGAUCAUUAUCGAAUGUGUCCCUCACACACACACACCGUGCACUUUCGGGCGACCCCGGUCGUCCGCUUUUUCCCCGACUACGCAUGUCUCGAAUGUGAUGUCUUCGUUAACGCGAAACAACUUUCGACAACGGAUCUCUUGGCUCUC
rnacentral:misc_RNA from 1 species